rnacentral:rRNA from 1 species
CUGUGAGGGUUGCUGGAGGUAUCAGAAGUGCGAAUGCUGACAUAAGUAACGAUAAAGCGGGUGAAAAGCCCGCUCGCCGGAAGACCAAGGGUUCCUGUCCAACGUUAAUCGGGGCAGGGUGAGUCGACCCCUAAGGCGAGGCCGAAAGGCGUAGUCGAUGGGAAACAGGUUAAUAUUCCUGUACUUGGUGUUACUGCGAAGGGGGGACGGAGAAGGCUAUGUUGGCCGGGCGACGGUUGUCCCGGUUUAAGCGUGUAGGCUGGUUUUCCAGGCAAAUCCGGAAAAUCAAGGCUGAGGCGUGAUGACGAGGCACUACGGUGCUGAAGCGACAAAUGCCCUGCUUCCAGGAAAAGCCUCUAAGCAUCAGGUAACAUCAAAUCGUACCCCAAACCGACACAGGUGGUCAGGUAGAGAAUACCAAGGCGCUUGAGAGAACUCGGGUGAAGGAACUAGGCAAAAUGGUGCCGUAACUUCGGGAGAAGGCACGCUGAUAUGUAGGUGAAGCGACUUGCUCGUGGAGCUGAAAUCAGUCGAAGAUACCAGCUGGCUGCAACUGUUUAUUAAAAACACAGCACUGUGCAAACACGAAAGUGGACGUAUACGGUGUGACGCCUGCCCGGUGCCGGAAGGUUAAUUGAUGGGGUUAGCGGUAACGCGAAGCUCUUGAUCGAAGCCCCGGUAAACGGCGGCCGUAACUAUAACGGUCCUAAGGUAGCGAAAUUCCUUGUCGGGUAAGUUCCGACCUGCACGAAUGGCGUAAUGAUGGCCAGGCUGUCUCCACCCGAGACUCAGUGAAAUUGAACUCGCUGUGAAGAUGCAGUGUACCCGCGGCAAGACGGAAAGACCCCGUGAACCUUUACUAUAGCUUGACACUGAACAUUGAGCCUUGAUGUGUAGGAUAGGUGGGAGGCUUUGAAGUGUGGACGCCAGUCUGCAUGGAGCCGACCUUGAAAUACCACCCUUUAAUGUUUGAUGUUCUAACGUGGGCCCCUUACCGGGGUUGCGGACAGUGUCUGGUGGGUAGUUUGACUGGGGCGGUCUCCUCCUAAAGAGUAACGGAGGAGCACGAAGGUUGGCUAAUCCUGGUCGGACAUCAGGAGGUUAGUGCAAUGGCAUAAGCCAGCUUGACUGCGAGCGUGACGGCGCGAGCAGGUGCGAAAGCAGGUCAUAGUGAUCCGGUGGUUCUGAAUGGAAGGGCCAUCGCUCAACGGAUAAAAGGUACUCCGGGGAUAACAGGCUGAUACCGCCCAAGAGUUCAUAUCGACGGCGGUGUUUGGCACCUCGAUGUCGGCUCAUCACAUCCUGGGGCUGAAGUAGGUCCCAAGGGUAUGGCUGUUCGCCAUUUAAAGUGGUACGCGAGCUGGGUUUAGAACGUCGUGAGACAGUUCGGUCCCUAUCUGCCGUGGGCGCUGGAGAACUGAGGGGGGCUGCUCCUAGUACGAGAGGACCGGAGUGGACGCAUCACUGGUGUUCGGGUUGUCAUGCCAAUGGCACUGCCCGGUAGCUAAAUGCGGAAGAGAUAAGUGCUGAAAGCAUCUAAGCACGAAACUUGCCCCGAGAUGAGUUCUCCCUGACUCCUUGAGAGUCCUGAAGGAACGUUGAAGACGACGACGUUGAUAGGCCGGGUGUGUAAGCGCAGCGAUGCGUUGAGCUAACCGGUACUAAUGAACCGUGAGGCUUAACCUUACAACGCCGAAG